GCCAGGCACAGUUGUACGCACCUAUAGUCCCAGAUAUUCUGGAGGCUAAGGCAGAAGAAUCACCUGAGCCCCAGAGUUCAGGGCUAUAGUGUGCUAUGUUGAUCUGGUGUUCACGCGAAGUUCUGCAUCAACAUGGUGACUUCCUGGGAGUGGGGGACCACCAGGUUGCCUAAGGAGGGGUGAACCUGCCCAGGUUGGAAAUAGAGCUGGUCAAAACUCCUGCGCUCAUCAGUAGUAGAAUUGCACCUGUGAAUAGCCAGCCACCGCCCUCCAGCAUGGGCAACAUAGCAAGACCCUGCCUCUU
ensembl:misc_RNA Metazoa_SRP Metazoan signal recognition particle RNA